rnacentral:lncRNA from 10 species
AAUUGAUUCCUUUGAGGCAACUCAAAAAAUUAAAUCCAACAGCAUAAGAAAAACAGAAGAAAUAGAGUUAAAGGAGAAAAUUAAAAUAAGAUAAAACAAGGCUUGGGUGAGGACCACACCCAUACCCCAUGCUCUAAAGCCUGUACUCUUGCUAGAAAUGGGCUUAGUUGUGGCUCUGGCUUUUUAGCAGCCAAAACACAAAGGAAAGUGAGACCUGGUGCCCAAUCCACAUGGGUCACAGUGAAACCAACAAGAAGCUCAGAGGUGUGGCCUGAGAGUGAUUUGUCCCAAGGGCUCAGACUGAAAGAAUGCAAUGUGAGAGGUAUGCCACAUCUUCAUAAAUAAAGCACAAUCCAUAUGCCUA